rnacentral:lncRNA from 1 species
AACUUCUGCACUAGUAAUAAGUGGUCAGUCCCUCCUUUAAACGUAGUCUGGAUAUUUGGUAAGCACAGGAACGGAUAAUCCCGUUCCAAGGGGCGGCGGCUCGGCUCCCGCCCGCAUCCGCGAGCGGGGCUCGGGGCGCGGGGGACGCGGGCUGCACCCGGGCGGCGGGGGCGCUGCGCCACCUCGAGGCCGGACCCUGCCGCCCGGGUCCUGGGUCCUGGUGCUGUCCCCCGGAGCGGACAGCGAGGCCGAGGCCCGCGGGAAGGCAGCCGGGCGCGCAGGGGCCGGGCGGCCGGCCUGCAGGCUGGCAGGGACGCGCUGGGGACCUGCGUGGGGAGCUAAGGGCCCAGGUGAGCCCGAGGUGCCGCUCUGGGCGGGCGGAAGCCGGGGAAAGGUCCCCAGCAAGGCAACAUCUCUCUCAGGGUUUCCACGGGCGAUGGCGACCGGCGUCCCUGGGGAGAAGUGCCCUGAGGGCGACAGGGACGGGGCCCCAGCAGCUCCCAGGCCAAUUUUGAAACUUGAUGAUAUUAUUUUUUAUUUAAACCUGAUGACAUAAUGUAUCUGUAAUUAUUAACUUACUUAUACCUCUAAAAGUGAACUUUAAAAAAAUGAGUAAUUUGGGGGCUGGAUUUUGUUUGUGUCACACAGAAGUAACACCACCACUACCUCUGACUUUCAGGAUUCUGGAAGUCAGGUACUUUGCACAGGUGAGCAUUUGAUGAUUUUCUAACUUCUAUAAUAUGGUGCAAAACAAAAGGUAAGUGAUUAUGUACCUAAUUCAUCCUUACUCUACAACUUAAGUCUUGAUAAUUUUGCAGGAAUAGAAUGGAUUGGACAGAUGUCACUGAGCAUAAACUGGAGCUACUUUUUAUUUUCAAACUUUUUUCCUUCUUGUGGGGAGCAGCCCGGACUGGACUGAGUUACUGGAAUUAAAGACUUAUUCUAUGCAUCUGCUCUCCUCUGUGGGGGAGCAGCUCGGACUAGACUAAGUUACUGGAAUUUAAGACUUAUUUCUAUGCAUCUGCUCUCCUACAAUAUGGCGCUGGGGAGAGGGAGAAAACAGCUUCCUACCCCAGCUGCCUCCAGUUCAACCAAAUAAACUGUAGGACUUGCUGGAGAGCA